ensembl:lncRNA
GGAACGCGCGUGUCCCGGCUCUGCCACUCUUUAGCCGAGCAGGCGAUUUAUCAACAGCCCUGACGGCGGACUGGCCUGGAGCCAGGACCUCAGGGGUCCAGGGGACCGGGGGUCCGCGGCCCGGCUGCUCGCGCCACCCGAGAGCUCGUUAGAAAUGCAGACUCUCGGGCUCCACCCCAGACCCGCCAGAUCAGAAUCUGCAUUUUAACGAGAUCCCCAGGUGAGCCGUGAGCGCAUUACAGUUUGAGAAACCGUGUCUGCAUUUUAACGAGAUCCCCAGAAAGACAUAGAUAAAAGUACACAAUAGCGUUGUCUGGAAUUGUGCUGGGCCUUCCUCCCUGCUGGAGUCCUCUCCCUGUGAGCUACUUCAUGAUAUCUAGGUUGCUUCUGCUGCUCUCCACUGUGAAUACAGAAGUACAAAAAUCCAUGUUUAUCCAGCUACGAAUGACUCCCCAAAGAGUAGCGGGGAUCAAACUCGGGACCUUUCGCCUGCAAGGCAGGUGGUGGAACCACUGACCUAAAUCCUGGCCCUCAUCUGAACCCAUUUUGAGCCCACACUUGCCUCACUCAGCUCCACAUGCUGGAGAUAUGAAUGAAGUCCGAGCCAGACUGGACUCAGCCAGUGAAUGAAUAGCACACAAGGCCAUUCAGAGAGGUGGGUGCCAGGAUCACAGCAGCAUGGAGAGAUGUGAUAGAGGGAGGAUAUUUGUGGGCUACUGAGUUUGGCCAGAAGUGACCGAAACAUGAACAUCAUAGCCAACCUUGGGAAGAACCAUGGGAGGACACUGCUGGAGGAAGGACUGUCAACACCCAAGACCCUAAAGUACAACCACUUUGGUGCCUUUGAAGCUAAGCAAAGAGAUUCAGUGACUAGAUAGUUCCUAGAAAAGAGAAAUAUGACACCCGAAAUUUUGAACAAAAAAAGAAAGAAAGAAAAAGGAGCCAAGCAUGGUGGGACACUGCUAUAAUCCCAGCUACUCAGGAGGCUGAGGCAGAGGAUUACAAGUUCAAGUCUUGCCUGGACAAUUUAGCAAGACCCUAAUAAAAAGGGCUGGAGAUGUAGCUCAGCAGUAGAGCACUUGCCUAGUUUCACCAGGCUCUGGGUUCCAUUCAUAACAAUGGAGAAAAAAAAUUGAAAAAAUGUUCUGACCCAUUUAAGGUUAAUUAAAUAUAAGCUAAAUUGAAAUACUGUUUUCCACUUUUCUUUUUUUUUUUCCACUUUUCUGAAUAGAAGAUUAAACAUACUGAGCAGAGCUCAGUCAUUCCACAUUUGCACUAUGCUUCUCAAACUUGCAGUGCAUAAGAAUCACUUAGGAUUUUAACUUAAAAAGCAGAUUCUGGUUCCAGUGUGUCUCAAAAGGUAGUGUGUAGACAGAUCACUGAGGGGGCCUUGCUAAAAAACAGAUCCUGAGUUCAAUGCUUAUCGAUCUUUAAUGUGCAGGAGAAUCACCUGGGGAACUUGUUAAACGUAGAUUCUGGGAAAAAACCAAAAGGAGAUCUUCAACUUAAUUAAGUAUAAGAGAAUACAAAUUAAAGCAACGUGAUUUCCUUUUUUUCUUUUCACAGAUCAGAUCAAUAAAGAUUAGGAACAUGUAUUGCAUCUACUGUUAGCAAAAGUAGAGAGACUGGUUUUCUAAUGCAUUGGUAGUGGGGAUGCAAGCAUUCAUAUGCAGUCACUCUGGAGGGUGAUUCAGCCAUGCAGUUUUUUUUUUUUUGGUACCAGGGUUUGAACUCAGGACCUUGCGCUUGCUAGGCAUGUGGUGGAACCACUGAGCUAAACCCCCGGCCCACGGCCAUACAGUUUUAACUUUACUCUGCCAUCUGUCUCUUCUCCUUCAGAGACACAUUUGGACAGGCACACACGGGGUAAUUAAUGUCCAAAGGUGUCUGUUCCCACACCUGAGAACCUACGUGCCCAACAAUAGUGGAGUGGCUGCAUUAAACCGAGGUUGGUUGUCUCAGGGAAUACAGGGCAAAAGGUGAAAAUUAUCAGUCAGAUUUAUGAAUACAGACUUGGCUAGAGCUUUAGGAUGUGGUGCAUUAAAGAAAAACAAGUUCCACAUAGAUACACAGAGGUAAACAUGUCUGAAUCUAGGCAUGUUGGGGCUGGAGUGGACAGCUCACGGUAGAGUGCAUGUUCAGCAAGCAGGAGGCUGGGGGUGUGAUCUUCAGUGCCAAAAGAAAAACUCUGUAAUUUCUAUGGUGAAAUAUAUAUAUGUAAAUCCACAGAAGAAUACUGUACUGGAAGAAUAUAUACUAGGUGCAUUUUAAGCAAGGCAGGGAGUUAUUUGGGGAAUGAAGAUUGGAAAACCUAAAUUUUGUAUGUGUGAAAGAGAAUACUAUCCUGGGCAAUGUUUAUUUUUUAGGGGAGGGGGUCCUGGAGAUUGAAGGGCCUUCUCACUAAGCUACAUCUCCAGAACCUUCUAUUUUUUUCUAAUUUUGAGACAGGGUCUUGCUAAGUCCUCUAAGACUUGAAUUUGCAAUCCUCCUGCCUCAGCCUCCUCAAGUGCUGGGAUUACAGGUGCACACCACUACAGCUUCUGGUGGUAACAAUUCUUUUAAAAAGUAGAGGGUGUACUACUUUAUAGUUAAAAAGUAAUAACUAAAACCAAUAACUAAAUCAUGGUACUUUCAUACAAAUGGAAUAAAGUCCAUGUAACCCCAACAAAAGAAAUUUUAAUACUAGUUUUGUUUUAUACACACACACACACCAAGACUUGAGCUUGUGAGUGCACAGGAGGCCAGGAAACUGGUAAUGUGAGUUGUCCCGGGGAUGAAGACAGAAGUAUCUGCCAUGAGACUGAGUGACUGACAUCUUGCUAUGGAUCCUUUCACAAGCUUUGCAGUUUUAAAAAUUUAAAUCAUAAAACCUGGACUACAGACAAGAAUGUGUAAAAACACAGUUGUGCAAUUUACAGGAUAAAACAAACACCUUUGUGGCCACCACCAGUGUAAGAUGUGGCAGGCCGCAGGAAUCCAUCAUCAGCUCCAAGUCCCUGGCUGCCCCUUCCUUCCCCUCUCUCCCGCUAUGUCUCAUUUGGUAUCAUUGUUAUCUACAAAUUUUGCCACCUAAAUAAUCUAGUGUGUAGUUUUGCCUCUUUUUGUUUUUCAACUUUGGGUAUUUUUUCCCUCCCUUUUUGUCUUUUAAGUCUUUGAGAUCCAACAUGUUGCUGCAGGCAGCUGAAGUCUGUUUAUUUUCACUCUCGCAUAAUCCUGUGCAUACACCACACUGUACACCUCCUGCCAAAAGGCUGACUCCUGCUCGGUAAUUAUGAGCAAUGUAGCCGUAUGCACUCUUGUACAGGCAUCCUGAUUCACGUGUGUACCUUUCUCUAUAUCCAGAAUCUGCAUUUGACAAGUCCCCCAGGUGAUUCUUCUGCACAUUAAACUUUGAGAAGCACUGAAAUCAGCCUCUGCCUUUUAACAAGGUCCCGGGGGAUUCUUACACACUUCGAGUUUCUACGUAGGUGUAGAGGAGCUGAGGCAUGGUGCAUACAUACUCACACCCUAGCAAAUGCUAUCUUCCAAAGUGGCUUUGUCAGUUCACAUUCGCACCCGCACAUAUUACUUUUUAAAUUAAAAAGAAAUUGGUAAAAAGUCACCAAGGCACGGUCUUGUGGAAAAGGGGGUGUGACCGCUACACAGACCCUAACUGCCUCCUCUUUCCUGUUUUCACGCCCUCGCCCGCCCCUCAUGGGUUAGGUCUGAAAUGAAAUUCUACAGAAGAGGGUUCUGUUUACACAACAGUGGGGAUCAGGACACCCUGUUUCUGGGGGCUAGGAGUGGAAGCCAGGGUUGCACACACUCUAGGCAAGUGUUUCACCACCGAGCUCCGUCCCCAGCGCAUCCCCUUUCUUUAUUGAUAGAACAGCCUCCCGUGCACCUGCUGGAC